AUGCUGACAGUGUUCCCAGACAGUACCCUCCCCCAGCCUGGCUGCCUCCCACUGCCCUGGACUUAUAGCACAGGUGGACAGUGAACUUCACUUAUUUAAACUAAUAGGGGUUUUAUGCUCUUUGUCCCUACUGCACAAUCCCCUUUAUCCUGACUGAUAACGACUGAGAAUAUCCUGAGCAAUGGUCUUGAAAAUAGAGCACCACUCUGGUCAAGGCGGAAGGGAAAUGAGAACCUGAGCUGGAAGCAGAGCCCUGCUGUGUUCAUUCAGUGUCAGAUGGCAGGGAUGACAGGGGUGUGACAAUGCUGUAGUACAGGGUACCGCUCUGUAGAACUGGAAGGGCCUUUUGAUCUGCAAGCCAUGCUGAGGGAGUAGAUGGAUGGGGAAUGUGCAGGGGGAUGUUAGAACAGACUGCUGUAUUCUCCUCUGAUCACACCUCUUUUUCCUUUUUGUUCACAUACUUAAAAACACUGGCAGCUGGGUGUGGUGGUACACGGCUUUAAUUCUAGUACUUGGGAGGCAGAGGUAGGUAAAUCUCUGAGUUUGAGGCCAGCCUGGUCUACAGAAUGAGUUCCAGGACAGCCAGGGCUUCACAGAGAAGCUCUAUCUCAAAAAAUGAUCUAUUUAAAAGUCCCGGUCUAGGACUGGACUCAGGAAUGAUGGGCUUACUGUCCACAUGCAUGGGUCAGAGUUUGGAAGCCCAGCAUCCAUGUGAAAGCCGGGUGAACAUGGUGGCCCAUCUGCAAUCUCAGCUCUUAAAAGGCAGAGACAAGAGAUUCCUAGGGCAACAGUCCUGGCGGACUUGCCAGAAUGGGUGAGAUCUGAGUUCAAGUCUAAGAUUCCACCUCAAUAAAUAAAGUGGGCAGUGAUCCAGGAAAUAGUAUCAGCUUGAGCCAUUCACAGUUGAGCACAUUUGUCCCAAGCAUAAACUUGCCCGACAGUCUGGAUUUCUGACUUUUCUGGUUAAAUGUUAAGACCCAGCUCCCUCGUUAGAUGGCAGAUGUGCUGUAGGUCCUAUCAGUCAUGGUUUGGCCUGACUUUAUUUGUUACAGUGAUAGAAUGAUUAAAUCUUCACAGGAACUAAACAGCACACUUUUUUGGCUCAUUUUAAUAGUAACUGUUUUCUCCAGCACUAGUCAGUGUCAGGGUCUGAGAAGAACAAAGAUGUAUAAGCAUCUGAUACUUACUUUGUAGCACAUAAGACAAACCAAAUCUGGGUCAAACCCAGGAGUUUUCCAAAGCCAACAUGCUUAGGCUAGAGAGGACGGGAAGGCCGGGGUUGUGGCUCUGUUUGAAGCCUGGCCCUUCUUUUUCCCGUUCUGCAAAAUGGGCCAGAUCUCGAGAAGAUAAAGGUGGAGGCGGCUGCGGGAGAAAGUGGAAAGUGGGCAGAGAGGCCUGCUGGAGAGGCCUGAGCGUGGAGGAGAAAGUUAUAUAAGGCCUCGGAGAAACCAGCGUGGAGAGAUGGUUCCUGCUCCGCACAUGAAAGAAGGAUAAGUGCUUCCAUAAGGUUUCUGGCACUCUGCCCAAAGUUUGACCAUGAGUCCCAGUAUCUCCUUCCAUCCACUGGUGGGUAGAGUCUUCGACAGGCCCUCUGUGGAAGGCCCCUGUCCUGUUCCUCUACUUCUGAUGUCUAUCCUGUUUGUUCUUCUGAAUGAGGAAACCUUACGGAAGAAGAGGGAGACAGAAAGACCUGGAGGGGAGAGGAGCUCUACAAAGAGACCAGCAGAGCCAAAAAACCUGGGCCCAGGGAAGCCUGCAGAGACCAACACUCCAACCAAGGACCAUGCAUGGAGAGACCUAGACCCCUGAUCAAAGGAAGCCCUUAGGCUGCUCAAUUUCCAAGGAUGGAGAGAGGAUCAAACAGAAUUUUCCAUGAGAAGGGGCGCUGGAAGCCUCUAAGUUAUGCCAAGAGGCAGCAGUAUGGAUGAACACCUUCACCUGUCCUUCCUGUGCAUUCACGUAGCUCCUCUCUGGGUGGCACGGAGGCAGGAGCUGAGCUACAGGUGCCCCAGGAGCAGACCACUGAGUAUCCGUGUGGAUGGAAGCAGCACACGGAGCCUUAAGGAGCUGUGCACAGUCAAGCAGGCCAGAAACAUGGACCCGUCUAUCAGACAGUGGCAGGUUUACAGGUGCCUCUGCAGGUUCUUACUGGCCAUGGCAAGUUCUCAAGUCUUGUUAAUAGAGGGCUCCAGUGAAUUGUUGUUAUAAACAAAAAUGAAAAUCUCAACCGUUCUAUUUUACAAACAAAGACUCAGGAGCCGGAUGCUGGGGUGAAAACCUGCUAGCUCAGAGAGGCAGAGAAAGCACCCAGCUGACACUCCUUCUCUGCCCAGGUCCAGAUGGAAAAAAACCCAAAGGGCUCAUUAUCUCAACUGACAGCCCAGGAGGAAAAGGCCAAAAAACUCAAGGCCAAAAGCUUAUAGCUAAAGCCUCAAAAUCCAGGGAUCUGAGGAGCUGAAGCCUAAACUAAAGUGAGAGCUUAAGCUAAAAGUCUUUCUGCUUCUGCACUCUGACUUAAAUAUACACUCUCUGAGUUCUCCACUCAGCUCAAAGUCCCUCCUACUCUUUAAUUCCUGUCAGUUGGCUUCUUGCUCCAUGUCUUGACCUGGGUUAAUUAUUAAUUCCUGUGUACAGAAAGCUCUUGGAUUAAAGGUGUGUGCUAGGGAUGGCUGAACCACACCAUAAUCUCCUGUCUACAAUAAA